GGGAUAGCCCGGCGAAAGCCGGAUUAAUACCGCAUACGCUCUACGGAGGAAAGGGGGGGAUCUUAUGACCUCUCGCUACAGGGGCGGCCGAUGGCAGAUUACCUAGUUGGUGGGGUAAAGGCCUACCAAGGCGACGAUCUGUAGCUGGUCUGAGAGGACGACCAGCCACACUGGGACUGAUACACGGCCCAGACUCCUACGGGAGGCAGCAGUGGGGAAUUUUGGACAGUGGGCGAAAGCCUGAUCCAGCAAUGCCGCGUGUGUGAAGAAAGCCUUCGGGUUGUAAA
rnacentral:rRNA from 1 species